ACAAGUCAUUAGUGCACUAAGUGGGCCCCACCAAGACAUGUGGCCAAAUUUAAUUGGUUCAAGCCUUGAGUGGGACACUUGUCACUCUUAAGGGCUGCCUAUAUAAGGAAAAAAAUCUGAUGAGCAAGAGCUCAUUUUCCACCUUCAACAUUACAAGAAAACCUAGCUAGAGAGAGAGAGAGAGCAUAAGCCAUGGCAUUUGGCCAUGGCUAGCAAAAUUGGAGCUCGAAUUCCUUGAUCAAAAAGAUCAGAUUUUCAAAGUAUUCCAACCAGUUAGGAAGGCUAUAAUAACGUGGAUUAGUCAUUUGGAGCAACAAGAACAAGUAUUAGUUCAUUUCACAACUUCUAGCCAAAUUAAGAAGCCAACUUGUUAAGGUUGAAGUGCCAAUCGAGACGAGUUUAAAUUAUUGAAUUGGUACAGACGACAAACGGUACAGACGCACAGUUUGGUGAUCCACCAGUUUAGGACACCCUCUUCUGCUGUUUGGAGUGCUCCUCUUAUUCCGGAGCCUACAUUUUGGUAUAUAUACUUGUUUGAUGCAUAUGUAUAUAUUUGUUCAGGGGUACGGCGGGGCCCUGUUCCGCCAUAUGAUCCGUUUGGUCUGUUUAGAGGUCUGUAGACGUAUUUGUGGGUGUGUGUGCCUACUUCU